AUGAUCUCAGGAGAUGUGUAUGGGUUCAGGUUGACAAGGGAUGGACUUAUCAUGGUUAAUACUGAGUGUCAACUUGAUUGGAUUAAAGAUGCAAAGUAUUGAUCCUGGGUCUGUGAGGAUGUUGCCAAAGGAGAUUAACAUUUGGGUCAGUGGGCUGGGUAAGGUAGACCCACCCUUAAUCUGGUGGGCUCCAUCUAAUCAGCUGCCAGUGAAUAUACAGCAGGAAGAAAAACGUGAAAAGGCAAGACUGGCCUAACCUCCCAGCCUACAUCUUUCUCCUGUGCUGGAUGCUUCCUGCCCUUGAACAUCAGACUCCAAGUUCUUCAGUUUUGAGACUCGGACUGGCUCUCCUUGCUCCUCAAGCUUGCAGAUAGCCUAUUGUGGGAGCUUGUGAUUAUGUUUUAGCACCUCUUACGAAUGAGUGUCUGGGCAGCCAAAAAAAAUAAUGAAAGGAAUCAUCCAGGUAAAGAGGGGAAGAAAAAUGGACUUGGCCGGAGAUGGGGAAGAACGUAUGCAAAAAGAUGAGGUUAUUUCAGACUGGAAGUUGGAUUGGAGGGCGGACGAAAGGAGAAGCUGCUGAAGUAGAUGUUAAAGAUGGAGAGAAGUGGACAGCAGAGACACAGAGGAGUAAAAGUCAGCAAGACCCGAGAUGUGUAUGGGGAGCGAGAGUGUGGGAAGUGUGACAUGUGACUGAAUCAGAUGAUGGCAACUUUCACUGGGCGGUGAAAGGUCAGGUUGGUUGUAAAAGUCAUGAGUUCACUUUGGGGCACCUUGAUAUAGUCACUUCCAAUAUCAUGUGUUUCAACAAGCCCCAGUGUUCCUUCCUGGUCAGUUCCCCCAGCUAGAGUGUAUUUUCUGUCCCGCAGCAUUGUAUGAAAACUGCUAGAAUAUCACUCACCACUUCCCAUAGAGAUUCUGUUUGUUCAUCUGCUUGUCCCACUGUGUGCCUUACACAUAGUAGGUGCUCUUGGAAUGUGUGUGAGAUGGAUUAACAUGAGAAGUGCUUCUCUGCAUGGUUUCACCAUUGAAGUGUUGAAAGCAACCAGCGCUCCUCCUUCCUAACCUCUAGGCUUCCAUCCAGCUGUGGGGACUGGUGUGGUGGAGGGGCCUAGUCUGAAUCUGGACAGGGGAGGUGCCUGCAAAUAUUUUUGUGCCUUGGGACAGAUGGAAGUCCAGUUUACUGUCUGCUUCCUCAGUGGUUCUAGAGGUAAUUGCAUCCUGCUGUGUACAGUUAGGUCGUGGAGGAGACAGGCACCUUCUCUCAUCUUCCUGGAAGGUAACUAGAGAUCUUUCCCCUUUCCUAUCAGGGAAGCUGCUCAGUCGCAGGCUCCAGAUGUCUGCUUCAGAAUUCAAGAACACCUUCCCAAGCUGGGAAACAGAUCCAAGGAAAUAUCAGCCAGAGGCUUAAUUUUAUCAUCUGUGGAAAUGGAAGAUGUUAGAGCACCUAGGAGGGUCUUAACGUACAAAACACUGUCUUGAGGCUGCCUGCAGAACAGAGGGUCAUCAGCUUUCAUUAGAUUCUCAAGGGAGCCUCAACAGGCUACACCUGAACCCCAGGUUUGGGGCAUCUCUCCAGCCCUCCCAGCUCUGACAUCAUCAUCACCAUUAGUGGUGAUGUACCAACAACCCUCCCAAGAGUCCCAUAUCUACCUGACCUCGUUUGACCUUCACAGCAACCCAGUGACUCAGCUGCUAUUUGGCCCACAUUUUAUAAACCUGAGUCAGUGUGCUUUACCUCAGUGACCCAAGAACCCAGGUGCUAGAGUCAGGCCUGCAUCCAAAUCAGGGGUGGGAUCAGUGGUGUGCCCUGAACAAAUCAUUAUCCUCUUUUUUGUUUUAUUUUUUGGAGACAGAGUCUCACUCUGUCACCCAGGCUGGAGUGCAGUGGUGCAGUCUCAGCUCACAGCAACCUCUCUCUCCUGGGUUCAAGUGAUUCUCCUGUCUCAGCCUCCCAAGUAGCUGGGACUACAGGUGCGUGCCACCACGCUCAGCUAAUUUUUGUGUUUUAGUAGAGACAGGGUUUCACCAUGUUGCCCAGGCUGGUCUCAAACUCCUGAGCUCAGGUGAUCCACCUGCCUCUGCCUCCCAAAGCACCAGGAUUACAGGCGUGAGCACCACACCCGGCCCAUUACCCUCUUUUAACUUCAAUUUUCUCAUCCACAAAACGAGGGCAAUAAUCUCCUUUCUUCCCCACUAGCCAUGUUCACAAAAGUACUUAUUCGCUCAUUUUGAAAUAUGUAGCAAUGUGCCCCAGAAAGUCUGGGGCAUGAGUCCUGCUUGGGGUGGAACAGGGAAGUCCCGCUCUGCCCCACUGGGGUGUCCUCAGGUGAAAGUGUGUGUGGGCUGACUUUCUCUGAGCUCCCUGUGGAGUCACACGGGGAACGGGGUUGAGUCACAGCACAAGGGCACUCACAUGCCCCACCCCGAGGAGGUCCCUGUUCUGGCAGAAGCCCUGAGCCGUGACUGUGGACUGACACCCGCUGCCUUUGUGACCUUGGAUGGGUUACAUAACCUCCCACAUGAGAAGGAGGAGGAGGCACCCAGGCUUAUGGUCUGAGCUAACCUGGGUAGUGGGAGCCCUAUCUGUGAAUUGCCAAGAGGCUGCCAUGGGGACUGGUGAGAACACAGCUCUGCAAGGCCCUUUUGAUUUGUUUUAACCUUUAACUUUUCAAAAAUUUCAAAUUUAAAGGAUGCGUGGCGCAGUU